UACGAAGGGGACUAGCGUUGUUCGGAAUCACUGGGCGUAAAGCGCACGUAGGCGGAUUCGUAAGUUAGGGGUGAAAUCCCGGGGCUCAACCUCGGAACUGCCUUUGAUACUGCGGGUCUCGAGUCCGAUAGAGGUGGGUGGAAUUCCUAGUGUAGAGGUGAAAUUCGUAGAUAUUCGCAAGAACACCAGUGGCGAAGGCGGCCAACUGGUCCGGUACUGACGCUGAGACACGAAAGCCAGGGGAGCGAACGGG
rnacentral:rRNA from 1 species